rnacentral:lncRNA from 1 species
UCCCCCUCCGCCGUCCAUGAACAGCCCUCCGUCUGCCAUGUUCCUUGUGCCUCCGCUGGUUUUGACUCGCCCUUCGGAAGAGAUGUUGGCGCCGCCUCUCCACGAUCUCAUCGCUCCUCUAUCCCCCGCCAUGUCUCAACGUCCUCGUAGCCAAGCAACAGAGUACAACAUGUGAUUCAGGUACUAAUUGUACUACUCUGACAUCAUAGUUUUAUUGCCUCAACCUUCUCGUAGCCGUGGUAGUAGAGUCAGCAGGUGAAUCAUGGUAACCUCUAACUGUUUUUUCCCGCAAAAAAAAACCUCUCAUUGUUUCUUUCAUCUCUACCUGCAGGCUGGGAGCUUGAAGUUCAUACAUUACAGGCUUUGUGCUGAUAUUUUUGCUUGGACUACUAUUUUUCUACAUUUCUGAAUUUUGUAUUUCUGAAAGUUGUCUUGUUAUGUAGCCUGAACCUUGUAGUUGAUUAAGUUAAUGUUGUACCAAGCAUUAUCAUUGUCUUUCCAAUACAUUGCUUUCCAUGCUUAAGUGGGUUGGCUGCUGAUUGCUGCUGCAUCUGGCUAGAUAGCUGGUUGUACUCUCAUUGUUUGUUGUCCCUUUUUUUUUCAGAGUUUGCAUUGAAUUUGAAUCACAAUGGCAAUCUGAACCCAAGUGCAGAUUUC